rnacentral:lncRNA from 1 species
GGAAACUGAAUAUUCUUUAAUUAACCUAUUAGUUUUAAUUAGAUACCACAGCCACUUGUUUUGUAAUCUGGAAAAUGAAUGUUCCAGAUGCAAAGGGGAGGUUUUCUUUCUUCCUUUUUUAACUUUCUUUCUUCCUGUUUAGUGAAAUGUUUAAACGCCUUGUCACCACAGAGAAACACAGAAAAAAGUGACACUUGAUGAAAGAUUAAGGAAAAUGGGGAAGAUUAACAAAGCUUGAUAGGCAGGCAAUUAAAAUAGAAGUGAAGGAUCGUUAGUAUUCAUUACUAGACAACACAGGCAGGGAGGAUGCUGCAGCUGUUGGAAAUCCCCAUACCCAACUGCAGGGGAAGUCCUGCCCAAAAUGGCUUGCUCUUUUCACUGGUGAGGUUCCCACUGGCAGUUAAGUGGAUUAGGAGCUUUUGUGGCCUCUUCACCCUUGGAGACUGAUCUGGCCUAAAGGUCUAAGGGCUGUUGAAAUGGCCUUUGAGAGGUGGCACGAGGAGGAUCCUGACAGGGGAGGGGAAAUGGCUGAGGGCUGUAACCAGGAGAUGCCACCUACUGGGAACUGAGAAAGAAGGAAUGAGAUCCAAGUCUCUGGAUGAGAAAAGAAGGAACCAGGAGGCCAGAAGGGAGAGGAGAGGGAGGGGGUUGUGCCCCUCUGCUCUGCUCCUGGAAGGCCCCACCUGCAGUGCUGUGCCCAGGCCUGGGGCCCCCAGGACAGGAGGGAUGCGGAGCUGCUGGAGCAGGUCCAGAGGAGGGCACGAGGAUGCUCAGAGGGCUGCAGCACCUCUGCUGUGAAGCCAGGCUGAGGGAGCUGGGCUUGUUCAGAUUGGAGAAGAGAAGGCUGCAGGGAGACCUCAUUGCAGCCUGCCUGUACUUGGAGGGAGUUUACAGGCACGAGGGGAAUGACUUUUUACACAGGCAGAUAGUGACAGGACAAGAGACUUUAAAAGAGGGAAUAUUUAGAUUGGAUUAGGAAGCAAUCCUUUCCUCAGAGGGCGGUGAGGCGCUGGCACUGCUGCCCAGAGAGCUGUGGGUGCCCCAUCCCUGCAGGCACUCAAGGCCAGGUGGGAUGGGGCCCUGGGCAGCCUGAGCUGGUGGGGGCAGCCCUGCCCAUGGCCAGGGGUGGCACUGGGUGAGCUAUGAGGUCCUCUCCAACCCAAGCCCUUCUAUGAUUCUGCAUGUCUAUCAAGCAUCAGAGGCACAUAACUGCACUCUUCCAAGGGGAAAAAAAAAUACAACAACAAAAAAACCCCC